CCGUGUACCCAGUUACUACCCAGCAGGCCUAAAACUACCUAGCAAAUCCAUUUAUACCCUUGACCCAAACAGAAUACCAAUAAACCAAACCCAAAUAAAAAACGACCCAAAAGCCCAAGUGACUUUAAGGAAACAGGAAACCCUAGGGUUUCCUGAAGACUACAGCGCUGCAGCAGCUUCUGGAAGCCUCGGGGAGCAUCUAUUCAACUCCCCA
rnacentral:lncRNA from 1 species